rfam:Rhizobium oryziradicis strain N19 C407, whole genome shotgun sequence.
AGUCAAGAGUUUUGGCACCGUUUUGGUGAGCGUUUUUCCUUUGCCUUUUGAAAGGUGAGAGAAAAUG